CCUCCAUCACCAACAGUCCCAACUCUGGGAAGGUGCCAUUCCGAGGGCCAAGAGUCUGAAUAUGAGUCACUCUGGCUGCUAUGGCCCCCUCCCAGGGCUUGGGCAUCACAUCCCUACCAAG
rnacentral:precursor_RNA from 7 species